rnacentral:lncRNA from 1 species
CCUUUCCUAUCCCAGCCUCCCACUCCAGGUCUCCAUUCAAAUUGCCGUUUUGUGCAUUUCACAAUUGUUAAUUUGAGUGAAUCUUGCUCGGCGGGCCUGUCAACAGAUACAGGCGACAGCACUUUGAUUUGCUACAGGAAUGUGAUGGAUAUUUUUUUUUCUCUUAAUGUUUUGUUCCGUAAUUAUUGUUCUCUGUCAGCUCGUUGACAAAUGUGAUUCUGCAACACAUGUUGUAAAUCUAUUUGGAUCUACAGAAAGGAAGACUGUCAUAACAACAUUGCUUAAUGCGCAAGGCAGUGACCUAUGCUGUUUCAAGUGCACCAUUCAUCAGAAAGUUUCCGGAAUAUUGCAUCUAGAUUUGCAUGAGGUUGGAACUGUCAGGUUGAAAAAAUACACUCAGAUCUAUGUGUUAUUUCCAGCAACAAGGAGCGGCUACGACCGUCUACUGUGCCACUGCCCCAGAACUUCAAGGCCUGGGCGGGAUGUACUUCAACAACUGCUGCCGUUGCCUGCCAUCGCUAGAGGCUCAGAACGACCUGACGGCAGCCGCCUUGUGGGAGCUGAGCGAGAAGCUGAUCCAAGAACGGUUUAAAUGCAAUAAAAAGAACAUGCUUGAAUAUUGUCA